UUGAUUCUAGGUUGGUUUUUAUGUUCCAAAGACAAAGUUUUGAAUCUUUAUUUUCAUCUUCAAAUUAAGUUGAGAUUCUUUCUGUUAGAACUCGGGUUUAAUUUCGUGGUUCAUUUAUUUAUCAACAUUUCGGAGGGAAUAUUCAGGAGAAAUAUGCAAAGAAAUUCUUACUGCUCCAGAUGCAAAGCAACUAUUACUCCAGAUAAAAUUACUAUCAAAGUAAAGGUUGCUGGUGAAGAUUAUCAUGAUGUUUUAAUAGAUUGGUCAGAUGGUCUAGACGUAGGUCUACAGUUUUUACAACAA